AUUCCAUGAUGAGUUCAUCUUCGCAAUAGUUCUUUAAACCUCUCCCAUGCCUCAUACAAGGACUUAUUAUCGAACUGUUGGAAGGUAGUAAUCUCGUCCCUCAACAU
rfam:Gossypium hirsutum cultivar TM-1 chromosome 15, whole genome shotgun sequence